rnacentral:rRNA from 1 species
AAGCAUAUCAAUAAGCGGAGGAAAAGAAACUAACAAGGAUUCCCCUAGUAACGGCGAGUGAAGCGGGAUGAGCUCAAAUUUAAAAUCUGGCGGCCUCAGGUCGUCCGAGUUGUAGUCUAGAGAAUCGUUUUCCGCGUUGGCCUGUGUACAAGUCCCUUGGAACAGGGCGUCAUAGAGGGUGAGAAUCCCGUCCUUGACACAGAUUACCAAUGCUUUGUGAUGCGAUCUCGAAGAGUCGAGUUGUUUGGGAAUGCAGCUCAAAAUGGGUGGUAAAUUCCAUCUAAAGCUAAAUAUUGGCGAGAGACCGAUAGCGAACAAGUACCGUGAGGGAAAGAUGAAAAGCACUUUGGAAAGAGAGUUAAACAGUACGUGAAAUUGUUAAAAGGGAAACGAUUGAAGUCAGUCAUGCUUUCCGAGACUCAGCCGAUUCUGUCGGUGUACUUCUCGGUUGGCAGGCCAGCAUCAGUUUCGAUCUGUGGAAAAGGUUGGAGGGAACGUGGCAUCUUCGGAUGUGUUAUAGCCCUUCUUCGAAUACAUAGAGCGGGACUGAGGAACGCAGCGCGCCUUUUAUUAGGUUGGCCCUCGGGUACAUACGCGCUUAGGAUGCUGGCAUAAUGGCUUUAAACGACCCG